UAUAUGAGAGGAAAAAAAGAGUCCAAGUGAGACGGAAAGCAAGGGAGAGAAGUAGAGACAGAGAGACGGAGUGAGCUCUCUCACGGGUAUUAGUAGCCAUUGAUGUUUAAGUCUGGGAAAUUGACUCGGUGCCGACGUUGGAACAAAGCAAAGCUGCCAGUGCUGCUGAAUUCUGGACUCUGAUUGGUCAGAAUUGGUGCAGAACAACAGCACCUCUGACAAUAAAUAGUGCAGCUGCAAAUCACACUUAUCAUCGCUAUGGCAACAGCUCAUUCACAAGGACUUGUAAGGCCAUAAGGAUGCUCCAUAUAAACGUGUUUAAAAAAGGAGUGGAACCCAAUGUGUUCUUCUGUCCGCUGUUGCUUGCUGAGAUGCUUUUCUGGUCACCACGGUUGUACAGAGUGAUUAUAUGAGUUACUAUAUCCUUCCUGGCAAAAAAAAAACAUGAAUCUGUCCAUUUUCCUCUGACCUCUCUUAACAAGGUGUUUGUUUCCACCCAUAAAACUGUCGCUCACUCACUCAACUUGAUGUUUUUUGCACCAUUCCGUCUGUGUAAACUCUAGAGACUGUUGUGUGUGAAAACCCCAGGAGGAGAUCAGCAGUUUCUGAAAUACUCAAACCUUCAUGCUCCAUCUGGCUCAAACCAACACGCAUGGCACAGUGAAAUGAAAGUCACACUUCUUUAAGAUCACAGUGUUUCCCAUUCUGAUGUCUGAACAUUGUGAACAUUAACUGAAGCUGGUGGUUUUGUAUCUGCAUGCUUCACUGCUGUCAAGAGAUCGGCUGAUUAAAGAACUGCAUCAGACAAACAGCAGGUGGAUGUAUGGGUGUUCCUAAUAAAGUGGCUGGCAGGAGGAUGCAGAAGUGCGAGACGGCAGGCACCACUUCGAUUCGGGACGGAUCCAGAGGGUACAGCUUGGAAUCCUGAUCAAAUUUCAUGUGUGGGAAAGAUGCUGGUUGAGAGAGCGAGAGAGAGAGAGAGAUCACUUGUCCAAAACAGUUGUGCAGCUGUGUUCACACAAACAGAGCCAUAUGAGAGACACUGUUGGCCUUGGCUGCCCUGAACCCAGAAACUCGGAAAAAAAAUAAUUGACAUUUUACAACAUUUGACAAAACAAUGAAAACAGCACACAUGGUUCUUCAAACAGGGCAUAAACCCUGAUAAAGCCUGCGGUUGGUUUUUUGCUUUAUCUGAAUUCAAGUGCAAGUGAGAGUAAAAUUGUGAGUGUGUGUGAGAGUGUGAGAGAGAGAGCACUUGACAUUAUUAUCCGUGGCCACAGAUGUUGCUCUCACAGAUGUGUUCGGCCCCAGGGCACCGCUGGUCCUCCACCUUCCCAGCAUGCCGAGUGCGAAUCAAAACUGGCUCGAGUUUUUGUGGCUCUUUGAAAUUAAACACGUCCCCA